rnacentral:rRNA from 1 species
UACGUAGGAGGCGAGCGUUGUCCGGAGUUACUGGGCGUAAAGGGUGCGCAGGCGGCGGUUCGCGUGGAUAGAUGAAAUCUCCUGGCUUACCUGGGAGGAUGGUAUCCAGACGGGAUCGCUUGAGGGUCGGAGAGGGGCGUGGAAUUCCGGGUGGAGCGGUGAAAUGCGUAGAGAUCCGGAGGAACACCGACGGCGAAGGCAGCCUUCUGGGCCAACACUGACGCUCAUGCACGAAAGCGUGGGGAGCAAACAGG